UUUACAAACAUAAAAAGAAAAGAAAUGGACGACAAAAUUUAGUAAUUAGCAAAAUAAUCGCAAUGGGCAUUGAAAUCAUCAUAAUACGUCAAUUUCAUCUAAAGUUCUUUUUUAUAUACGCUCUGUACAGUUAGGGUGCACCCAUUGAGCUACAUACUCUUUUACAAGAGUUACGAUGAUAAUAAAAA